AAAAACAACUGAUAGCUGGCAAUGCUGCAGCAUGUGGAUUUUUCGUUUUUCGUAGCAUAGCUACCAAUUACGAACUACGAAAAUUCGGGUUCUAGAAUAAGGGGAUAGUUAUAAAAUCAGCUCUUGGUUUGCAGGCUUCUGCAAAUGGAUGUAAAAUGAUUGCAAGUGCCUUUCGUUUCUGGCCCAACGUUUCUCCAAAUAAUAUUUUCAUCGGCGCCCUUCGCUCAUUUACAACAACUGACUGUUCUCCAUCACCAUAUCUAUGCCAUUGACGGCCAAAUCCACAUCACCUUUAUACGGCGUGUUCGGAAACACUGCUCUUGCUAGUGGUUCGGAUUUCGGAGAAACUUGAACAGCAACAACGGCACCAACAGAACAUUCGGUCUUUGGCAAACCUGUACCUGUACAAACAUUCCCCAAGCCAUACAAAUGCCCACAUUGACGUUGCUGCCAGUGAUUUUGUAUCUGCCAGAUGAGCCGACCGUUGCACCAAUCGUGGCAUUGGCAAAAACACAUUUAUAGAUUUAGGCGUAUAACUGGCGUUUGCCAUUAUACGAUAGUUGACCAUUUAUUUAUUUCUUAACUUGAAUCUAUUUUUAUAAUAAUACAAACCAUUUGUAUUUGUAUUGUAGAAUUUGGUAUAAAUUACAAUACAAUUACAAUUUUCCAACACUGCGGUGGACCAGAAAGAGAAAAUCACUUAAACUUAUUUUAUAUUCUGUUAAAGCCUACAAACCAAAAUAUGUAAAUACAGUAAAGGGAUCCACAAGAUUUUAUAACGCUUAAUAACGUCUUAAAAGCAUACAUAAGUAUAUGUAAUUUCAUGAAUUAAAAACUAAACUUUUAAGCAGCUAUAAUAUUGUAUGAGUAGGAACUGCUUGUAUAUUUUGCAAUUAAAUAUUCCGCACUUUCACGUUCAACGCAAAAAUUUCGUUU